CGUUGAAACAUCGGUUCCCGUACGAAUGACGAAGUUAAGCAACGUCGAGCCUGGUCAGUACCUAGAUGGGUGACCGCUUGGGAAUACCAGUAGGUG